rnacentral:rRNA from 1 species
GCAAGUCGAGGGGUAACAGGUAGCUUGCUAUGCUGACGACCGGCGCACGGGUGCGUAACGCGUAUAGAAUCUGCCUUACACUGAGGGAUAGCCUUUGGAAACGAAGAUUAAUACCUCAUAGUAUUGUUGAAUGGCAUCAUUUAACAAUUAAAGGUUACGGUGUAAGAUGACUAUGCGUCCUAUUAGCUAGAUGGUAAGGUAACGGCUUACCAUGGCUACGAUAGGUAGGGGCCCUGAGAGGGGGAUC